rnacentral:rRNA from 1 species
GCACAAGCGGUGGAUGAUGUGGAUUAAUUCGAUGCAACGCGAAAACCUUACCCACCUUUGACAUGGCAGGAAUCCUAAAGAGAUUUGGGAGUGCUCGAAGAGAACCUGCACACAGGUGCUGCAUGGCUGUCGUCAGCUCGUGUCGUGAGAUGUUGGGUUAAGUCCCGCAACGAGCGCAACCCUUGCCAUUAGUUGCUACGAAAGGGCACUCUAAUGGGACUGCCGGUGACAAACCGGAGGAAGGUGGGGAUGACGUCAAGUCCUCAUGGCCCUUAUAGGUGGGGCUACACACGUCAUACAAUGGCCGGUACAGAGGGUAGCCAACCCGCGAGGGGGAGCCAAUCCCACAAAGCCGGUCGUAGUCCGGAUCGCAGUCUGCAACUCGACUGCGUGAAGUCGGAAUCGCUAGUAAUCGCGGAUCAGCAUGUCGCGGUGAAUACGUUCCCGGGUCUU